AGUGGACGCUGGCGGUAGGCCUAACACAUGCAAGUCGAACGGCAGCACAGUAAGAGCUUGCUCUUACGGGUGGCGAGUGGCGGACGGGUGAGGAAUACAUCGGAAUCUACUUUUUCGUGGGGGAUAACGUAGGGAAACUUACGCUAAUACCGCAUACGACCUACGGGUGAAAGCAGGGGAUCUUCGGACCUUGCGCGAUUGAAUGAGCCGAUGUCGGAUUAGCUAGUUGGCGGGGUAAAGGCCCACCAAGGCGACGAUCCGUAGCUGGUCUGAGAGGAUGAUCAGCCACACUGGAACUGAGACACGGUCCAGACUCCUACGGGAGGCAGUAGUGGGGAAUAUUGGACAAUGGGCGCAAGCCUGAUCCAGCCAUACCGCGUGGGUGAAGAAGGCCUUCGGGUUGUAAAGCCCUUUUGUUGGGAAAGAAAAGCAGCAGGUUAAUACCCCGCUGUUCUGACGGUACCCAAAGAAUAAGCACCGGCUAACUUCGUG
rnacentral:rRNA from 1 species